GAAAAAAGAAAAACAAACCACGAGGAGGUUGGGAUUUAGGAUACGAGAUGCCGGGUAGCUGCAGAAAAGAUAACCUCUUCCCUAGCAUAAAUGUUCUCACUUAUACCUGCUUUCCAUCAGCCUGUUUAAAAAGUAAAUAGUCAGAAAAAUACACUGCCCAAUUGUCCAUGCUGUGGCAAACUCCUCAAGGAUGAUGACUUGUAUUCAGUGGUUUUCUAUGUCCCCUCUAAUGUCUGUUCCACUGGGAACUGCUUCUUUGGGGUUAUCCCAGCUGGCAGCUUUUGGGAGGGUGUUGCUCACUUGGCAUCCCCUGAACAGCUCAAGUUUCAGUAUCUGAAAAGCUGACUGAAAACAACACUGUAAGAGCACCCACACAAGUGAGAGAGAGAUUGCAUAAACCCAAGAGUUUAACUGCAAGAAUCGAAUUCCUGAGGUCAGUGCUCCAUGCAGACCAACUCUGCUGUUCUCAUGACAUCCAGCUCUCCCCUCCUGUCUGUACCUUGAUCCCCACCACCAAAGAAAACUAGCCAGCCUUACGAUAGCCUGAUCUGCAUGUGGCUUCUUCCUUUGCUGUAAGAGGAAUGCCUUACUGAAGAUGGCAACUCUUUCAUCUGCAGCACAGGUUGCUCCUUAUUUGAUAGGGAUGGAUUUGCUGGAAGUUCAGACAUUUUUCUCCCACUGCUGACCACAGGAGUGACACAGGGCCUAUGGAUUUUCUCCUCUUGUAUUUCACCCAAAGGCAAAAAGCAUCCCUCAGACCAGCUGCAGAUUAAAUUGCUUCUUCAUACAGCCCUGGUUUCUAAACCUACAUUCAUUCUGAUGCACUCUAACAGUGGAAAGAAGGCAUUCCAAACACCAGGGUUCUGCUCAGGGGUGAAGGAAGUGAAUAUUCCUUGCUGUAUAGGAGCUGCUGAAUCAUGGCCUGAACCUCUGAUUGACCACCUGAGGCAAGCAAUGGGUCAGCCAUGGGAACACAGCUGAAGGCAAUUCACCUGUGCUGCAGGAAGGGAUGGAGCCUGGCUGCACCUCUCCUAGAUCCCAUUUAAAUGCUGACUGCCACUGAGGAAGGAUCCUUUCCUAGAGGUUAUUCCUUGUGGAGAAUAUUGUGAGCCUACAGCAUUGACAGAAGCUCCAAGAGCUGCUCCAUGCAAAGCCAACCCUCUGGGUGCAAUUCUGCAUACCUCCAGGGAAGACUGCAGCUUGACUGCUCGCGUUGCACUGCCCACAGCACGUUUCUGGAUUCAGCAGCUGGCACUGAAACCUGAUGCUUCCACUGGAAAGCACAGAUCCUUGCAAGGUCAGUGCAAUUCCCAUCACCAUUGUUUCACAGAGUGCCCAAAUUUUAAACACAAACUGCAGCACAUCCUUGUGGUCCAUUAAGCAGUCUGUCCAGUUUGUGGGUGUAAUGACAGAGGAAAGAGCUCCCUAAGAACUGCAGGAAGAAGCAGAGCAUGCUGAUGGGGUCAAAGCCUCCCAGCAGCACUGACAGCAGUGUGUGCAUCUGCUCUGUACUGGCAGGCUGUGGUGGGAUGGGCCGGGCCAGCACCGCUGCCAGAACCUGAGGACACACUAGCCAGCAUUAUUUAAGAACAUUUCACAAUGCCUGGAUUACUACACAGUACUUACCAACGGUCAGAGGUUUCUUUAGUGCAAACUGAGCAGCUGGGAAAUCCAUGAAUAAUGGAAAGCAGGCAUCUGAGCUCCAGCAGCAUCACCUCAGCCCUGAGCCAGAACAAAACCAGAAAAGCCUCAGAACCUGCAGCUUGGACUACAACAAAGAAACUCUUGAAUAUGCAAAGUUCACUGCAGUGCAAAUACUUACCCAUAAACACGCUCCCUGGGGUGCUGGAAACUGGCAUCCUGCCUUCAUCACAGCUCAGACCAUCCCUCCACACCACAAGUGCCAGGGAUGGGGGCACAAAAGGAGCACUCUGCACUGACAUCUCCUUGGCAGCCAGUGCCACCAGCCCUGCCCAUUUGCAGGCAGUUCAGAUCGCUGAUGCACUGAAGUGACUUUCCUUUCCUACCAUGUUCCCAAAUAACCAUCUUCUUGGCGAGUUUUGGAAAGACUCAUUUAGAUGCUGCACAAGUAUUUGUCCUGGGACUUCACUUGGGCCAGGCAACUCUGGUUUUUGUAUUCCCUAAGGUGCUGUUUACUUGCUGAUUAGCUGGAAAGAAGCAGCACAAGUUCUGAUUUUGUGUUUCUGGUUGCUGCGGGGGUUGUAGCUGAAGGUCUGCAGUCACCUCGCAGCCCAGCCAGGCAGGGAAAGCAGCAGCCAUGCUCGUACACCUGCAGCCCCUUGCAAACAUUUUGACCACAUCAGGGACAAGCUUUUGACUACGUUUUCCUCAGCUGCAGACCAACAGCCCACACUGCAACCCCAGCCCACAAAUAAGCAACACCAUGAGGUUUCUGGGCUGCUCCCAGUGCCUAGAAGCCUGUAUCAUAGGUCAAAGAGGCGUGGGAGCUGCCUGGAGUUGCAGCAGUGUGGUGGCAGUGUGCUCUUCCAGGUCUGAUGGAGAAACUACUGCAGGGCUGAGAACUGUGUCAGGAAAAUCCAUGCUGACCCCUCUGGGUCACGGUGCCUCCUGCACCCUGUCAAAGCAACACUGCAGCAAAGGUGAUGGGAGAACCAAAGGGUGCUUGCAGCAACGCAGCGCCUGGCAGCUCGGAAACCUGUGGGGCCCCAUGAGAUGGAGUUUCUUUUUGUAAGAAAUCCAUCAUAAUUAGUGAGCAACACAAAAGCAGCAACAGAAAAGCAAACAGCAGUGAAGGACAGAUAGGGUACAGCAGAGAGAAGACAGCAAACAGAUACACAGGCAGCAAGGAGGAGAAGCUGCUCUGUUCCUCAUCAGGGCGCAGAAAUGGCAGCAAGUUUUUGUCCAGUACCAGAAGCAAAGUUUGACAGUGUUUGCUAUACAAAGCACAGGUGAAACAUUUCCCUUUUUCCUUCCCCAGAGAAACUCAAUGCAGCCUGUAGUGGCUGGUUAUUCAUAAACUGAUGCUUGAAUGGUUUUAAAAGCACUUAUCAAAAGUUUCAGAAAAAACACAAGCCACGUACCUUGCAUUCCAAUGUACAAACAUAAUAAUUGAACCCUUAGAGCCCCUGAACAAAGGAAAAAUUAUACAGGGCUGGACUAACAGCUAAGAAAAUAAAUCUUUCUGCCCAGGUAGAGCUCAAUAUGUUUGAGAUUAACGAAGAAGAAUACAACAGCUGAAUUCAAUCAAUUAAUCAAAUUAAGAGAUAGAACACAAUUGGUCCAGAAAUACUUCUCACCACUUGGAUCUGGGGCUGUGGAAGUGUUUGGCAGAUACACUGUAGGCAGGAAUAGGAGAAAGCUCCUUAUACAAAGCCACGGGGCAUCCCUCUUCCCUGUGAACAUCCAGCUGCCAGGAAUCGCUCUUGUAACACAGAUAAAUCCUCAGACUCCUCACCCUGCUUUAUAAUUCCAGUGAGCUCUGCUGUGCAGCAGGAGAGCAGCUUUCCAACCAAGCAGCUGUGACAGUGGCAUCAGCAGUACAGUGCAGCAGGCAGAGACCACAGAUAUGUUUUGUUUCCACUUUUUCACCGUGACUUUGAGAUGAGAGAGAAAGGCACAGUGCUCCUGACAGGAACCCAGAGGUAAACAACAAGAAAGGAAGGAAUGCAUUUAUACUGCUUGUUUAAAUCUUCCAGAUCUUUGGCUCAGUUCCUUGCAAUUCCUCUGUUACAGAGCAGCAGGAGUUCUGAGCUGUUUGGAAAGGAGGGUUAUUUGGCUAAAUUCAGGAAGCCAGCUGAAAAUCCCUCCUGCUUCACCAGACCCAGGCUUGCACUCAACAGGCACCUCCAGAAAGCAGCUCAGGACGUGCAGCAACAAGUGGAACUCACAGCCCAGAAGGCAGUUGAUACAGCACAGCUCCUGGCACAGGACAUCUUCUGGCCUGGCACGAAAGUAGCAAGUAUGGAAACUGAACGGGUUCACGACUGGUCAUUC